rnacentral:sRNA from 1 species
CUGGACGCCAGAGGUUGGGUCCAGCGUGAGGCGGACGCCGGGGGUGUCCGGCGCCCGCUCAUACCCAUCUUGCUCAUUGGAGGAUUUGGCUAUGAAGA